GAUGAAGAACGCAGCGAAAUGCGAUAAGUAGUGUGAAUUGCAGAAUUCAGUGAAUCAUCGAAUCUUUGAACGCACAUUGCGCCCCGUGGUAUCCCGAGGGGCAUGCCUGUUCGAGCGUCAUUUCACCACUCAAGCCUGGCUUGGUGUUGGGCGACGUCCUCUUUGGGGACGCGCCUCGAAACGCUCGGCGGCGUGGCACCGGCUUUAAGCGUAGCAGAAUCUUUCGCUUUGGAAGUCGGGGCCCCGUCUGCCGGAAGACCUGCUCGCAAGGUUGACCUCGGAUCAGGCAGGGAUACCCGCUGAACUUAAGCAUAUCAAUAAGCGGAGGA
rnacentral:misc_RNA from 1 species